CUGCUAGGCCCGAACGACUGCCCUCUGAUGGUUGCUGGCGUGCAGACACCGGAUGAGGAGUUCCAGACACCGCUGAAACUCCAGCCUCGCGAGCCCUUCGUUGCCGUUCUCCGCCACUAGCAGAAGCCUCCAGGCUCGUACUUUUGGACAAGUAAAUGUUGGGGCAUUGAACAAUCUGAGGUAUGCCCCUCAAUCUCUCGCAACUGGUGGAGCGGUGGCCUCGCCGGGGUCACGACGGUGGUCUUUACUCCAAGACUAAGAGCUCUCUUCUCCGACCUCGUCUUCAAUCUCAAUUGGGGGUGACCCCCUUCUCUCUCUAUUGAAAUGGCGGUCUCUUUCCAGACAACUAUUCAUCCCCAAGCCAGACUCGCUCACCCGCCUCCAAGUUGUGGAACAAAGCUUUAUUUGGGGUUAAAGCUUCAAUCUUCAUGACCAGUAAUCAUAAACCAACAAGAGCACAAAUUGGAAUGAUGCCUAUUGGAACUCCAAGGGUGCCCUAUAGGACUCCUAGUGAAGGUACUUGGCAAUGGGUUGACUUGUGGAAUGCCCUGUUUUGCCAUCAACUGGCAUUGGAGCUCUUUCUACCAGAGGAGCUGAAGGAAGAGCUAAUGUAUCUGCGGGAGAGAAGGGUACAAGUGUCACACACGCUUCUCAUAUAUCAUUUGGUUUGUCCUUUUUAUGAAUGAUGUAAAAUUAGAACAAUUUUAUUGUAAGAUCCAUUAAUAGAGUAUCAAAUUAAAAUAU